AUACGUAGGGGGCGAGCGUUGUCCGGAAUGAUUGGGCGUAAAGGGCGCGUAGGCGGCCCGGUAAGUCUGGAGUGAAAGUCCUGUUUUUAAGAUGGGAAUUGCUUUGGAUACUGUCGGGCUUGAGUGCAGGAGAGGUAAGUGGAAUUCCCAGUGUAGCGGUGAAAUGCGUAGAGAUUGGGAGGAACACCAGUGGCGAAGGCGACUUACUGGACUGUAACUGACGCUGAGGCGCGAAAGUGUGGGGAGCAAACAGGAUUAGAUACCCUGGUAGUCCACACUGUAAACGAUGAAUGCUAGGUGUAGGGGGUAUCGACCCCUUCUGUGCCGCAGUCAACACAAUAAGCAUUCCGCCUGGGGAGUACGGCCGCAAGGUUGAAACUUAAAGGAAUUGGCGGGG
rnacentral:rRNA from 1 species